rnacentral:misc_RNA from 1 species
UUUCCGUAGGUGAACCUGCGGAAGGAUCAUUAUUGAAUGAAACACUUCUGGCUUUAUGCUGUUGUGCUGGCCCUUUGGGCAAUGUGCACACGGCUCUGGUCACUUGUUUCUUCUGUUCCACCUGUGCACUGCCUGUAGACACGCUGUGUCUAUGAUAUUUGUUAACACACAACAAUGUUAGUUGGCAUGUUAUAUAUAAUAAUAAAAUACACAACUUUCAACAACGGAUCUCUUGGCUCUC